UGCGGAUGCAUUAGCUAGUUGGUAAGGUAAACGGCGUUACCAAGGCGAUGAUGCAUAGCCGAGUUGAGAGACUGAUCGGCCACAUUGGGACUGAGACACGGCCCAAACUCCUACGGGAGGGCAGCAGUAGGGAAGUCUUCCACAAUGGACGCAAGUCUGAUGGAGCAACGCCGCGUGAGUGAAGAAGGUUUUCGGAUCGUAAAGCUCUGUUGUUGGUGAAGAAGGAUAGAGGUAGUAACUGGCCUUUAUUUGACGGUAAUCAACCAGAAAGUCACGGCUAACUACGUGCCAGCAGCCGCGGUAAAU
rnacentral:rRNA from 1 species